UUUGCAGUGUUGCAUGACCGCUUGGCCAUUGUUUAUUUCCAAAACGUAUAUCUGGUUAUACUGGCGUGUAUGCCAACCAGUUGCUUUGGAACAAUAAACUGAAUCCAUCAUUGACCUUUGUGAUGGACGGGGCUGCACGAUGAACGAGACAAGUCGGACACGCCGAUCAAUAAGUCAGUGUUUACAAGGGGUUUUCCACGAUCUAUUAAUACGUCCUUGCAUGUGUUAAACAUGAGUGAAGCAGCCUACCAACUGUUGUCACUUGGCGACAUGUUAUUCAUGGGGACCCACUUCACAACGGCUCCCACCACAAGCACAGUAAACCUUUUACGAGGGCACGCCGAAUUCCGGAUCAGUCAACUCAAGUAGGACACAGAGCCAGUCAUGUACCGUCAUUGAAUUGUGUUUGCGUAGGUGGAAAUAUAGGUAGGUGCUGGACCAUGUGACUCGGGAGUUCCCCUCAUAUCUGAGGUGUCCGAUCAUUGUGUUACAGGAGGGCCCUGAUCAGCCAUGUUGGCAGUACAACGUGUCCGGCUGUGUAACUAUAUAGUAUCGAUCGUUCUGGUGACGGCAGUAUGUGUGGCGUCACCGGUCCUGCCUCUGAGACACAUUACCACAUCCCCCUCAACAACCACAGCACCGAUCUCUACAGAACAUUCCACACUCAUGGCUAACGACAAUACGACAAUGGGUGAUACAUCCUGUUCUGAAGGAGGCAGCUGCUCUCUAAAUAAAGCAGAUCUGGCCAAAACAGUAGUGCUGAGGUUGACAAUCGUUGCUGCCUGUAUACUUGUCUUCGUGGGUCUUGUGAAACUCUCAGUCGUUAUGAAUAGAUGCUGCAGUUGUGACUUCAAGCGAAAACACACGGUGACCUUCACCCGGAUAUGACCCGAGUAAACCGAGGUCACACCAUCAUACAGAGAAGCGGACCAAAUCAGGGACUGAUGAUAUAUGCCGUAUGUGCGUUGCAAAUGGGUGCACACACUUCUCCUAUAUAAUGUUUUAGUUGGUGCAAAAAUGUUGUUGUAAUAUUAAAUUAUUAAUAAUCGAGUAAACGAGCAAUUUAUUGAUGUGAAUGUGUUAUAUGUGUGCCAAGAUAUGUUCAAAGACACAUGUGUACUGCUAGAAUCUGAAAUAUGUAAUUUAUACAUAUGUUGCUGUCUUUGCCAGAGAGUAAGUGUCCUGAUGGAACUGAGACUGUUGAUUUAUUAUACAACACUUAUAGAGCGAACAUGGUUCAAUCUCGGUGACCUUGUUUAGUCACCGGACCAGGUUAGUGUGGAGAUUACGAUGUGCACGUGACAUAACACUGUCACACGUCACCACCUUAACAUGGUCAUCAGAAGGUUUUAAUGUGAUAAUGACUUAAACCUAUGGAUGUUUGAAUGUGUAUAUCUGUUGAAUUUCUGAAGUGCAAUAAACGAUUGUUAAUUAA